rnacentral:lncRNA from 1 species
GGGGGAGCUGAUUGAACUGAUCCUUUUAACAUAAUUUAUCAACAUCGAACUUUUCCAGAGUCCGUCAGAAACAGCUGAGGUUAUGGCUUUUAUGGAAAAAAGCACCACAAACAAGUGCCCUUCUCAAGUCACAUCAGGGAUGCAUUAUCUCUGCACAUCUCUCUGGUGAUGUCAACCACUGUAAAGCCACUUUUCACAUUCCUUUCCUAUACCCUCAUUUGGAAGUGAGUCACUGAAUCCAGCCCACAUUCCAGGGGAGAGAAGCUUUGGUGAUUAUGGCUUAGGGUGUUCUGUGAGGCUGCAAUCAAGGUGAAAACCAGGACUACAGUCAUCUCAAGACUCAACUGUAGAAGGAUCUGCCCCCUAGCUAACUUACUUGGCUCUUGAUAGACCUCAGUUUUUUGCCUUGAGACCCUCUUCAUCUACCUCAUGACAUGGCAGCUGGCUUCUCCUAGAGCAAGAGAGAGAAAGGAAAUCAAAAGAGUUUGUCCAAGAAAGAAGAUGCAGUCUUUAUAACCGAACAAAAGACAUCCCAUCAUUCUACCAUAUUUUAUGCCUCAGAACUGAGUCAUUAAAUCCAGUACAUACUUAAAUGGAAGGGUUUACACAAAGUAUGAAUACCAAGAGGCAGGAA